GGCAAUAUUAUCUAAAGUUCUUCAGGUUUAGACUGUUCAUCUGUGAUCCUCAUGAGGAUCUGGUCUCUGGUUGCUUUUGUAUUGCUAAUUGAUUGUCCAUACAUUGUGAUAGUGUGUUUCCUGGUUGCCUUUGUAUUGCCAAGUCUUAAGUCUUUCUUUUGCACUGGCAUAAUGGACAUGUGUCGUAUCCCGGUGUAUGAUCGAAAUCACCUAACCAGAGAUUUGACGAACGAGAGAACGAACACAGAGACUGGGAGAGAGACGAAUUUGGGGAUUGGGGAUUCAGAUUCAGUUUCUCAUUGUUUUUACCUCGUUUCCACGGCAACAACACAGCCCCUUUUAAAGACAACUCACGCUUACAGAAGGCGUACUCCCGAAGUACGUAAACGCCCACAGAACACACACUUAACCCCCAGCGCUUGGCACAUCUACUGUGACAUUGUCGCCCCCUUGAGAUGCAGCUUGUCCCCAAGCUGCAGCAUCCGGAAAGCGUUCGCGAAGAACGUAGUAGUCCUCCCACGUCGCCAUUGCCGCCGGCAUUGAAGACCACUUGAUUAACACCUGAAGAUAAGCUGCAUUGCCCUUCUUGACAAGGCGGCGAUCAAGAAUUUCCUCUGGAAAUAAUUCAGAGACAUCGAGCUGAAGUGGCGAUGGCAAGGUAGUGAAUACUGGUGUAUGAUCAGGCAAGAAUGGCUUCAGUUGAGAGACAUGAAAAACAGGAUGCACAGCACUAGUAGCAGGAAGAUCCAGCUUGUACGCCACAGUACCAAACUUGUCCAGAACAGUGUAAGGUCCAAAGUACUUGAAGGAAAGUUUGGGAUAUGGGCGAUUAACCACAGAAUGCUGGGCGUACGGCUGAAGUUUCAGUAAUACCUGAUCACCACUUGAAACUCCCUGAAAGAGCGAUGCUGAUCUGCCACUUGUUUCAUACGAGCUUGAGCACGGAGCAGCUGCUGUUUCAGGAAAUCUGACAAGAAAGCUCUGUCCUGGAGCACCACAUCAGCGUCAUGUGACAUGGUAGAGGUCCCCGUAGGAAACAAGCCAUGGGAAGUUUCCAGACCAUAUUAUGCCUUAAAGGGAGAACUUCCAAUAGCAGUAUGGUGAGAAGUGUUAUACCAAUAUUCAGCUAAUGGUAGCCCUUGAGCCCACUUAGUAGGGGAUGCAGAAACAGAACAUCGGAGAUACAUCUCUAAGCAUUGAUUCAUCCGUUCUGUUUGGCCAUCAGAUUGAGGAUGGUAGGCAGUGGUGAGGUUCAGAGUUGUAUUCAUACUCUUGAACAAAUGUUGCCAAAAAUGACUAGUGAAUAUCUUGUCACGAUCAGAAACAAUAGAUGCAGGCAUACUAUGCAACUUGACCACAUUAUCCAAAAAUGCAUUGGCAACAGUAGCAGCAGUAAAAGGAUGUUUAAGAGGAAUAAAGUGAGAGUACUUAGUGCACCUGUCCACAACCACCAUAAUCACUGAAUAACCCAAGGAUUUAGGCAAACCUUCAAUAAAGUCCAUGGAGACAUUCUGCCAGGGUGUGGUAGAGAUGGGCAGGGGCUGUAACAAGCCAGGGGUCUUGCACUGUUCAUGUCUAGCCUGCUGACAAAUAGUACACUGCUUGACAAAAAUUUCCACAGCUUGCUUGAGACCAGACCAAAUAAACAAUUUCUUGAGCCGUUGAAAUGUGGCCUGAAUGCCAGAAUGCCCUCCCAAGGCAGAAGCAUGAAAAGCAGCAAUUAGUUUAGUUUGCAAGCCUAUAUUAGCACCUAUCCAGACCUUGCCAUGUUGUUUAAUAAGGCCAUCAGACAAGGAAAAACCAUCAGCAUUAGAGCCAACCACAGCUAAUUCCACCAGAAGAGACUGUGCUUCUGGAUCAACCUGAUAAGAAUUCACCACUUCUUGAAGCCAUGCAGGCUGGACCACCGAAAUGGCAUGGAGAUCAAAAGAAUGGCCCACUCUAGACAAAGCAUGUGCAGGUGUAUUAUCAGUGCCUUUGUUGUACUGAAACUUAUAUUGGAGACCAAUCAAUUUUGACAUUGCUUUCUUUUGCAAAUCUGUGUGGCACUUGAUCAUCCAAGUUGCAGAGACUCUUGUGGUCAGUCUUAAUCACAACGGGUCCUCUUUGUAAAUAUGGCCGCCACCUAUCAACAGCCAUCAUGAUAGCUAAGAACUCCUCCUCAUAGAUGGACAGCUUCCUGUUGACAGUGCCAAGAGCCUUACUGAAAUAGGCAAUAGGGUGGCCUUCCUGAAGUAACACAGCUCCAAUGCCAUCCAUACAUGCAUCAGUUUCAACAACAAAAGGUUUAGCAAAGUCAGGCAAUACCAAGACAGGAGUGUGAGCCAUAGCAGAUUUCAAAGCAACAAAAGCCUGUUGAGCUGCUUCAGACCACAAGAAUUGUUUGUGUUUUUGCAAGAGAUCAGUCAAUGGUUUAGCCAGCAACCCAUAAUGUUUAACAAAUUUCCUGUAAUAACCAGUCAGGCCAAGGAAACCUCUUAGUUCAGUGACAUUCUGAGGCACAGGCCAGUGCAGCAUAGCUGAAGUUUUAGCAGGGUCAGUAGCCACUCCUUGAGCAGAAAUGAUGUGACCAAGAUAUUCCAGUUGAGGUGCUGCAAACUGACAUUUGCUAAACUUAGCAUACAAUUUAUGCUGUCUCAGCAGCUGAAAAACAACUUGCAAAUGACCAAGAUGCUCAGCUAGGGACUUGCUGUACACCAAAAUGUCAUCCAUGAAUACCAAAAUGAACUUCUUGAUGUAAGCUGCAAAAAUAGAAUUCAUAAGGCACUGAAAGGUAGCUGGAGCAUUUGUCAGACCAAAAGGCAUCACUCUGAAUUGGAAGUGAUCAUGAUGUGUUUUAAAUGCAGUUUUCUCCUCAUCCUUAGCCAACAUUCUGAUUUGAUGGUACCCACUCCUCAAGUCCAGCUUAGAGAAUAAAACAGUACCAGCCAGUUCAUCUAAUAACUCAUCCACUACGGGCAUGGGAAACUUGUUCUUAAUAGUAGCUGCAUUCAGCCUUCUAUAAUCAAUGCAAAAUCACCAAGUACCAUCUUUCUUCUUAACCAAGAGCACAGGAGAGGCAAAGGGGCUGACACUAGCAGUGAUCAACCCAGAUUGCAGCAUAUCAGUAACCUGUCUUUCAAUCUCAUCUUUCUGUAACGGAGAAUACCUGUAAGGUCUAGCAUUAACAGGUGGGGAACCAGGAAGCAAGGUAAUGGCAUGAUCAAUGUGCCUGACAGGAGGCAGUGUGGAUGGUGUAGCAAAAAUGUCCUCAUACUGGGUUAGCAGAGAGGUGACCUGAUCUGGAACCAAGUAACCACAGGCUCACUGUUGUGCUCCAAAAGUGCAGUGGCCCAUAACUCAUUACUUUUGUGCAAUUUAAUGACUUCAUCGAGGGAAAUCUCUUGUAACUGGAGUUGAGGGGCAGGCAACACACCCUGCAACCUGAUAGUAUGUUGGCCAUACUGAAACUCCAACCAUUUGUCUGCCCACCCACAAUUCAUGGGACUGAACUGCUGCAGCCAGUCCAUGCCAAGUACGGCAUCAUAUCCUCCCAUAUCCACCACCAUCAUAGAAUGACUGAAGGUGUGACCUUGUAUAUACCAAGUCAACUGUGGGAUGACUGAGUUGCAAGACAUUUUAUCCCCAUUGGCCACCUUUACUUUGAUGGUUGGACGAGGUUGUGGAGCUAACCCCAACCGACUCACUAAGUCCUGGUCAACAAAACUGUGAGUACUGCCAGAAUCCACCAACAUCAGCAUAACUUGAUUAUUGACCAUGGCUCUGAGUCUAAUAGUAUGAGCAUGUUCAGUACCAGACAAGGCAUGGAGAGACACCUGGACAGUUUCUUCCAAAGACAAAUGUUCCAUACCAGCCACCACAUCUAAAAGUUCAUCAGAUAAAUAGGUGUGAUUGUCCUCUGACUGAAUGGCUUUCAGGUGAGCGGCAGCCUGAGGUGUGCACUGAUGACCCGGUGUAUACUUCUCACCACACUUAAAACAUAAGCCAUUGGUACGCCUGUACUCUUUCAAUUGUUGUGCUUUCCACAGAUCACCUUGAUUAAACUUGUUCUUGUAUUCCUUAGGACCCCCAGUUGCAAACUGCUUGCUAGACUUACUUGGAAGUUUCUGAACAUCCAGAUGGGCUUCUUGUACUGAAGCUAUUAGUGUGGCACGAUGGAUAGAAUCAGGUAACUGAGAUUCAACUGCCACCCUAAUAUCAUCACGCAGACCCAGGAUAAACUGAGUAAGGAGCAUCACACUGUCAACUUGAGAAUCAUACAUACGAAUAGUGUACACAAGCUGGUCAAAGAGACGACGGUACUCCAGCACAGUACCCGUUUGAUGCAACCGUAGGAGUUCCUUCAUUUUCACUCCAUGUGUAUUCAUAUCAAAUUCCAGGAGGACCGCCCGACGGAACUGAUCCCAGUCUAAGACCUCACUAUUGCGCUUAAAAGCAUGAUACGAAUGGGCCGCAGAAUCAACUAAAUGCAUAGUAGCAGAGGAAACCUGAAACCCCACCGGUAUCUGAUGGAGGGUGAAAAAUGUCUCACAAGUGUCUAACCAGAUACUCGCAUUAGUACCAUCAAAUCGGGGAAAAUCCAUCCGCGGCAUCCACGGGCGCUUGUGCUGGUGCUCACCUCUCCCUGCCGGUAACAUCGGCUCCUCGCACGAACUGGAACCCGUAGGAGACAUGGGAGAGGAAGGGAAAAUUUGCGCUACCUGCAGGUUUGGUGCAGUCACCAGGCGAGGACCCCGUAUGCCCUUCUCCUUGUCCAGCAGGAUAGGAUCCGGGCGAGGACGGGAACCACUCGCACCCCGCAGCUCCUUCGCAAGGACCUGCUGCUCCGUUUCAAGCUUGCCCAACGAGGUCAUUGUUAGAUCCACCUUGUACUGGACUUGAUCGAGACGGAGCGCCUGCUGAUCCAGCUUGUCGUCGAUCCCCUUGAAUCGACUCGACACCGCCUCCAAAUUGGCAGCCGCUGUCUCCAAUUUCUCCAACAGCCGCACCUCCAUCGCCUCCAUGGCUGUCACUGUGUACCAAACUUGCGCGCUAGGCUUGAACGGCGCCGUCGCAGCGUCUCCUCCGAAUCAACCAAACGCUGAACAGGAUCUUACACCAAUUGCUCGAAAGCAAUCGGCAACCUUAUCAGUCGAUUUACUGGUACGACCAAGAGAAUUUGAGAGCGCGCUGGACCGAACGAAGCAAUCUGAUACCAACUGUCGUAUCCCGGUGUAUGAUCGAAAUCACCUAACCAGAGAUUUGACGAACGAGAGAACGAACACAGAGACUGGGAGAGAGACGAAUUUGGGGAUUGGGGAUUCAGAUUCAGUUUCUCAUUGUUUUUACCUCGUUUCCACGGCAACAACACAGCCCCUUUUAAAGACAACUCACGCUUACAGAAGGCGUACUCCCGAAGUACGUAAACGUCCACAGAACACACACUUAACCCCCAGCGCUUGGCACAUCUACUGUGACGACAUGCUUUCCAAUUCAUAAAACAGGUGAAAUAAUCAGCUCAUUGAUCAACAAAAAAGUGU
rnacentral:lncRNA from 1 species